rnacentral:rRNA from 1 species
UACCUUACAAGGAUAACUACGGAAAAGCUGUAGCUAAUACUUGCUUUAAUGCGUUUGAUUCAUUUUUGUCUCUUACGUAUGUACUUGUUAAGCCUUUAAGAGAAAAGUUUACAACUUAAGGAAUUAUAACAAAGAAGUAACACAUAAUAAGUUUACCUUAUUUAGUGUGUAUCAAUCGAGUUUCUGACCUAUCAGCUUUUGAUGUUAGGGUAUUGGCCUAACAUGGCUAUGACGGGUAACGGGGAAUUAGAGUUCGAUUCCGGAGAGGGAGCCUGAGAAAUAGCUACCACAUCUAAGGAAGGCAGCAGGCGCGUAAAUUACCCAAUUCUAAAGAAGAGAGGUAGUGACAAGAAAUAACAAUACAAGGCCAUUUCAUGGUUUUGUAAUUGGAAUGAUGGGAAUUUAAAACCUUCCCAAAAUUCAAUUGGAGGGCAAGUCUGGUGCCAGCAGCCGCGGUAAUUCCAGCUCCAAUAGCGUAUAUUAAAAUUGUUGCAGUUAAAACGCUCGUAGUUGAAUUUCAAAGAAUCAAUAUUUUAAGUAAUGCUUUUGGUAUAAGAUGCUUAGGCAAUACAACGUAUCUGCUCUUUGCAUUCCUUAUCCAAAAUGUGUUCUUAUUAUAAAAAGGAUUCUUUUUAAAAUCUCCUUUACUUUUUGUACUGGAGAUUUUGUUACUUUGAGUAAAUUAGAGUGUUCAAAGCAAACAGUUAAAGCAUUUUACUGCGUUUGAAUACUACAGCAUGGAAUAACAAAAUUGAACAAGUCAAAACUCUGUUCUUUUUUCUUAUUUUGGCUUAGUUACGAUUAAUAGGAGUAGCUUGGGGGCAUUUGUAUUCAGAUGUCAGAGGUGAAAUUCUUAGAU